CUGGGACUUUAUCACCAUGAUUAUGCCAUUUUAAAUAGAUAAUUGUGGUAAACGAAUCCCAUAAAUUGAAUCCAAUUAAGCGGGUGCUUUUUAAUUAAAGAUCAGCUUAAUUUUUUGCAUAUCUGCAGAAGAUUUGAUAAGUCUCCUUUAACUAGGAGAAUAGGUGUAUUACUAUCUUUUGAUGAUAUGGAACAUUU
rnacentral:snoRNA from 1 species